UACAGAGGUCUCAAGCGUUGUUCGGAUUCAUUGGGCGUAAAGGGUGCGUAGGUGGCGCGCUAGGCCGGUGUGAAAUUUCGGAGCUUAACUCCGAAACUGCAUUUGAUACUGGUGUGCUUGAGGACUGGAGAGGAGACUGGAAUUUACGGUGUAGCAGUGAAAUGCGUAGAGAUCGUAAGGAAGACCAGUGGCGAAGGCGGGUCUCUGGACAGUUCCUGACACUGAGGCACGAAGGCCAGGGGAGCAAACGGG
rnacentral:rRNA from 1 species